rnacentral:rRNA from 1 species
AGCAGCCGCGGUAAUUCCAGCUCCAAUAGCGUAUAUUAAAGUUGCUGCAGUUAAAAAGCUCGUAGUUGAAUUUCGGGGUCAGUAGGUUGGUCAUGCCACAGGUAUGUACUGAUCUUACUGAUUCCUCCUUCCUGAUGAACCGUAAUGCCAUUAAUUUGGUGUUGCGGGGAAACUGGACUGUUACUUUGAAAAAAUUAGAGUGUUUAAAGCAGGCUAACGCUUGAAUACAUUAGCAUGGAAUAAUGAAAUAGGACGUUCGAUCCUAUUUUGUUGGUUUCUAGGAUUGACGUAAUGAUUAAUAGGGAUAGUUGGGGGCAUUAGUAUUCAAUUGUCAGAGGUGAAAUUCUUGGAUUUAUUGAAGACUAACUACUGCGAAAGCAUUUGCCAAGGAUGUUUUCAUUAAUCAAGAACGAAAGUUAGGGGAUCGAAGACGAUCAGAUACCGUCGUAGUCUUAACCAUAAACUAUGCCGACUAGGGAUCGGAUGAUGUUAAUUUUUUAAUGA